rnacentral:rRNA from 1 species
UGGGGAAUCUUGCGCAAUGGGCGAAAGCCUGACGCAGCGACGCCGCGUGAGCGAUGAAGGCCUUCGGGUCGUAAAGCUCUGUCAGAGGGGACGAUAAUGACGGUACCCUCAGAGGAAGCCCCGGCUAACUACGUGCCAGCAGCCGCGGUAAGACGUAGGGGGCUAGCGUUGUCCGGAAUUACUGGGCGUAAAGGGCGUGUAGGCGGCCAGGCAAGUCAGUGGUGAAACACCUGGGCUUAACCGAGGUAUUGCCAUUGAAACUGUCUGGCUUGAGGAUAGAAGAGGAGUGUGGAAUUCCCGGUGUAGCGGUGAAAUGCGUAGAGAUCGGGAGGAACACCAGUGGCGAAGGCGGCACUCUGGUCUAUACCUGACGCUGAGGCGCGAAAGCUAGGGAAGCAAACAGG